rnacentral:rRNA from 1 species
UACCUCUGGUGUACCAGUUGUCGUGCCAACGGCAUAGCUGGGUAGCUAUGUGUGGACGGGAUAAGUGCUGAAAGCAUCUAAGCAUGAAGCCCCCCUCAAGAUGAGAUUUCCCAACUUCGGUUAUAAGAUCCCUCAAAGAUGAUGAGGUUAAUAGGUUCGAGGUGGAAGCAUGGUGACAUGUGGAGCUGACGAAUACUAAUCGAUCGAAGACUUAAUCAAAA